rnacentral:lncRNA from 10 species
AAAAAAGUCAAAGAGACUGCUAGGGAAUAAGCCUUAUUGGGCCAUAAUCUGUGGAUUUCACUCUCUAGUAUACAUGGCAAGAAAGUGGUGCUUCUGAUACCGUGGCUCUGACCUGAGACUUUUCUCUGUCUCUCCUCUCAGGCAUGGUAUGAGCAGGGCUAAGUGGAAAAAACUGUAUCUAUCUUUCAUGUUAAAGAAGUCCAGAAGACUGGGAAACAGAUCCAGAUGGAGGAAACAUCUGAUAAAGUUUGCCUAAGCAGCCAGCAGUCUAUCAAUCAUGACUCUUCCAACCCUCAUCCUGCAUCUAUAUCUAGAUUCAAAGAAGUCCAUGCAGGAGGCAGUCUACACUUUUCAAGAGAAAAUGGAAGGACUUCAGAGUUGAUUUGAUGAAGCUCAGUAAAAAACAUAAUUUUAUGUUUCUCUUUUAAGUUGUUGGCUGUUUGUUUAUUAUGAAGCCAUUUAAAGAGUUUUCUUGUUUAGCAGUGUAUAUAUACUGCAGAUCAUGGUUACUGAGACUCUAGAUGACAGAAGCGUGUAGUCUGUGUCCUUGGGUGACUUAAAAAUAAAAGCAGA